rnacentral:rRNA from 1 species
UACCAUGCAGUCGAACGGUGAAGCCAAGCUUGCUUGGUGGAUCAGUGGCGAACGGGUGAGUAACACGUGAGCAACCUGCCCUGGACUCUGGGAUAAGCGCUGGAAACGGCGUCUAAUACUGGAUAUGAGACGUGAUCGCAUGGUCGUGUUUGGAAAGAUUUUUCGGUCUGGGAUGGGCUCGCGGCCUAUCAGCUUGUUGGUGAGGUAAUGGCUCACCAAGGCGUCGACGGGNNNNNUUAGCCGGCCUNGAGAAGGGGUGACNNCGGCCACACUGGGACUGAGACACGGCCCAGACUCCUACGGGAGGCAGCAGUGGGGAAUAUUGCACAAUGGGCGGAAAGCCUGAUGCAGCAACGCCGCGUGAGGGGAUGACGGCCUUCGGGGUGUAAACCUCUUUUAGCAGGGAAGAAGCGAAAGUGACGGUACCUGCAGAAAAAGCGCCGGGCUAACUACGUGCCAGCAGCCGCGGUAAUACGUAGGGCGCAAGCGUUAUCCGGGAAUUAUUGGGCGUAAAGAGCUCGUAGGCGGUUUGUCGCGUCUGCUGUGAAAUCCCGAGGCUCAACCUCGGGCCUGCAGUGGGUACGGGCAGACUAGAGUGCGGUAGGGGAGAUUGGAAUUCCUGGUGUAGCGGUGGAAUGCGCAGAUAUCAGGAGGAACACCGAUGGCGAAGGCAGAUCUCUGGGCCGUAACUGACGCUGAGGAGCGAAAGGGUGGGGAGCAAACAGGCUUAGAUACCCUGGUAGUCCACCCCGUAAACGUUGGGAACUAGUUGUGGGGACCAUUCCACGGUUUCCGUGACGCAGCUAACGCAUUAAGUUCCCCGCCUGGGGAGUACGGCCGCAAGGCUAAAACUCAAAGGAAUUGACGGGGACCCGCACAAGCGGCGGAGCAUGCGGAUUAAUUCGAUGCAACGCGAAGAACCUUACCAAGGCUUGACAUAUACGAGAACGGGCCAGAAAUGGUCAACUCUUUGGACACUCGUAAACAGGUGGUGCAUGGUUGUCGUCAGCUCGUGUCGUGAGAUGUUGGGUUAAGUCCCNGCAACGAGCGCAACCCUUCGUUCUAUNGUUGCCAGCACGUUAAUGGUGGGAACUCAUGGGAUACUGCCGGGGUCAACUCGGAGGAAGGUGGGGAUGACGUCAAAUCAUCAUGCCCCUUAUGUUCNUUGGGCUUCACGCAUGCUACAAUGGCCGGUACNAAAGGGCUNGACAAUACNNCGUGAGGUGUGAGCGAAUCCCAAAAAGCCGGUCCCAGUUCGGAUUGAGGUCUGCAACUCGACCUCAUGAAGUCGGAGUCGCUAGUAAUCGCAGAUCAGCAACGCUGCGGUGAAUACGUUCCCGGGUCUUGUACACACCGCCCGUCAAGUCAUGAAAGUCGGUAACACCUGAAGCCGGUGGCCCAACCCUUGUGGAGGGAGCCGUCGAAUNNGAUC